rnacentral:rRNA from 1 species
GACGAACGCUGGCGGCGUGCUUAACACAUGCAAGUCGAACGGAAAGGCCCUGCUUUUGUGGGGUGCUCGAGUGGCGAACGGGUGAGUAACACGUGAGUAACCUGCCCUGGACUUUGGGAUAACUUCAGGAAACUGGUGCUAAUACCGGAUAGGAGCGCCUGCUGCAUGGUGGGGGUUGGAAAGUUUCGGCGGUUGGGGAUGGACUCGCGGCUUAUCAGCUUGUGGGUGGGGUAGUGGCUUACCAAGGCUUUGACGGGUAGCCGGCCUGAGAGGGUGACCAGGCACAUUGGGACUGAGAUACGGACCAGACUCCUACGGGAGGCAGCAGUGGGGAAUAUUGCACAAUGGGCGGAAGCCUGAUGCAGCAGCGCCGCGUGCGGGAUGACGGCCUUCGGGUUGUAAACCGCUUUCGCCUGUGACGAAGCGUGAGUGACGGUAAUGGGUAAAGAAGCACCGGCUAACUACGUG